rnacentral:rRNA from 1 species
ACGGGAGGCAGCAGUAGGGAAUAUUGCACAAUGGGGGAAACCCUGAUGCAGCAACGCCACGUGUGGGAAGAAGCAUUUCGGUGUGUAAACCACUGUCGUGAAGGAAUAAUGCCUGGUCUCGGCCAGGUUGAAUGUACUUUGAAAGGAAGCACCGGCAAACUUCGUGCCAGCAGCCGCGGUAAUACGAGGGGUGCAAGCGUUGUUCGGAAUCACUGGGCGUAAAGGGAGCGCAGGCGGAGAUGCAAGGGGACUGUACAAUACCGGGGCCCAACCCCGGACCUGCAGUCCGGACUGCACCUCUUGGAUAGUUCAGGGGCAAGCGGAAUUCCUGGUGUAGCGGUGGAAUGCGUAGAGAUCAGGAAGAACACCGAUGGCGAAGGCAGCUUGCUGGGGGCUAAUCGACGCUCAUGCUCGAAAGUGCGGGUAGCAAACAGGAUUAGAUACCCUGGUA